rnacentral:rRNA from 1 species
GAUGAACGCUGGCGGCAUGCCUAAUACAUGCAAGUCGAGCGAACAGACGAGGAGCUUUCUCCUCUGACGUUGGCGGCGGACGGGUGAGUAACACAUGGAUAACCUAACUAUAAGACUGGGAUAACUUCGGGAAACCGUAUCUAAUACCCGAUAAUAUAUUGAACCGCAUUGUUCAAUAGUGAAAGACGGUUUUUCUGUGACUAAUAGAUGGAUCCGGGCCGCAUUAGCUAGUUGGUAAGGUAACUGCUUACCAAGGCAACGAGGCUAAGCCGACCUGAACGCGAGAUUGGCCACCCUGUAACAGAGAAACGGCCCAGACUCCUACGCGAGGCAGCAGCAGAGACUCCUCCGGAAUGCGGGAAAGCCUGAUGGAGCACAGUCGCGUGAAGGCUGAAGGUCUAAGGACGGUAAAACUAUGUAAGUCGGGAAGAAGAAAUGUGCAAGUACCUAUGAACGUAUUGACGGUACCUAAUCAGAAAGCUACGGCUAACUCCGUG